UACUGGAGAAGCCCGAUCAUUGACGAAGUUCAGAAGAAGUUCGGAAUAGAAAUUUGGCUGGUGGAGCCCGUUCGUUGUAGAAAUUCGUCUGGAAUCCAUACGCAGUAGAAGUUCGACUGGGAUCCGACUCUUGUAAGAGCUCGGAUAAAGUCUGGAAGGUGGUCGACCACCGUAGAAACUUGGAUGGAGUCUGGUUACUGUAGGCAUCCUACUGUUGGAGAAGCUCGAAAAGCAUUUGGAGCAGCCCGGUA
rnacentral:lncRNA from 1 species